rnacentral:rRNA from 1 species
GAUGAACGCUGGCGGCGUGCCUAAUACAUGCAAGUCGAGCGAACGGACGAGAAGCUUGCUUUUCUGAUGUUAGCGGCGGACGGGUGAGUAACACGUGGAUAACCUACCUAUAAGACUGGGAUAACUUCGGGAAACCGGAGCUAAUACCGGAUAAUAUUUUGAACCGCAUGGUUCAAAAGUGAAAGACGGUCGUGCUGUCACUUAUAGAUGGAUCCGCGCUGCAUUAGCUAGUUGGUAAGGUAACGGCUUACCAAGGCAACGAUGCAUAGCCGACCUGAGAGGGUGAUCGGCCACACUGGAACUGAGACACGGUCCAGACUCCUACGGGAGGCAGCAGUAGGGAAUCUUCCGCAAUGGGCGAAAGCCUGACGGAGCAACUCCGCGUGAGUGAUGAAGGUCUUCGGAUCGUAAAACUCUGUUAUUAGGGAAGAACAUAUGUGUAAGUAACUGUGCACAUCUUGACGGUACCUAAUCAGAAAGCCACGGCUAACUACGUG